UUCAAGACAAUGUAUAAUUCGAUGCUCUUUCAGUUUGUGUGGUACUCACUUGUGGUACUCUUUGUGUGGUACUCACUUGUCCAGUUCCUUUGCCUUGCUGAUUUGUUUCAGAUGGCCCAAUACAGUUGGAAUCAAAAAAUCAAAUCUUGCUUCUAACUCAGGCAUAGUUUGAGAUGUAUCCACUUGUACUACAGUUUCCAGCUCAUCAUUAUCCACCUUGGUCUCAGGUCUACCAAGGGGCUGAUUUUCAAGAGUAAAUUCACCAGACUGGAACAUUUCAAACCAUCGAUGUACAGUGCGCUCAUUCACCACAUCUUCACCAAAUACCUCAUUGAUGUUUCAAGCUGCCUGGAAUGUAUUGGUUCCAUUUGGAUGCAUUGGAACUCAUAAACAACAUGAACUUUUGAUCUAUCCAUGGGUUCACAAAAAUUGAUUUACAAGAGAAAACUCACAAUAUAAUCAGACACCAUUUCAGAAAGUGAUGAUGCAACUCUUUUCAAGUUACAUCAUCAAUGUUAUAAAACAAAGUAUUGUUAGGAUAAAACAUUAGAGUUAAUGACUGUUAAACUCAGUGCAUAAGAGAAUCAGACAUUUCAUUCUUAAUGACCUGAUAGUAUGUUUGUAAGUGGAGGCACAAUGGCCCAGUGGUUAGGGCCAUGGACUCGCAGUCUUAGGAUCGCAG